rnacentral:rRNA from 1 species
CGCGCUGGACCGUGCACAAGUCUCCUGGAAUGGAGCGUCAUAGAGGGUGAGAAUCCCGUCUUUGGCAUGGAUCCCAGGGCUUCUGUGAUGCGCUCUCGACGAGUCGAGUUGUUUGGGAAUGCAGCUCAAAAUGGGUGGUGAACUCCAUCUAAAGCUAAAUAUUGGCGAGAGACCGAUAGCGAACAAGUACCGUGAGGGAAAGAUGAAAAGCACUUUGGAAAGAGAGUGAAACAGUACGUGAAAUUGUUGAAAGGGAAACGCUUGAAGUCAGUCGCGUUGACCGAGACUCAACCUUGCCUUGGCUUGGUGUAUUUCUCGGCUGACGGGUCAGCAUCAAUUUUGACCCUCAGAUAAUGGCAAGGGAAAGGUGGCACCUUUUAGGUGUGUUAUAGUCCCAUGUCGCAUGUGAGGGUUGGGAUUGAGGAACUCAGCAUGCACCUCCGGGUGUCGGGGCUUUGGCCCACGUUACAUGCUUAGGAUGCUGGCGUAAUGGCUUUAAACGACCCGUCUUGAAACACGGACCAAGGAGUCUAACAUACCCGCGAGUGUUCGGGUGGAAAACCCGUGCGCGUAAUGAAAGUAAAAGUUGGGACCUCUGUCGUGGAGGGCACCGACGCCCGGACCAGACCUUCUGUGACGGCUCUGCGGUAGAGCGUGUAUGUUGGGACCCGAAAGAUGGUGAACUAUGCCUUGAAUAAGGGUGAAGCCAGAGGAAACUCCUUGGUGGAAGGCUCCGUAACGGAUUCUUGACGUGGC